rnacentral:tRNA from 1 species
AUUUCUAUAGUAUAUAUAAUACCUAAUUUUUUCGUAAUUAAAAUGGAUUAGUCCUUGAAAUG